rnacentral:lncRNA from 1 species
AAGGACGGACUUGUCCGGAAUCAAACUGCAUCUUAAUAUUAUAAUGCGGCACCAAAAGCAAAACCCGAGGCCCCGGCUUGCAGUCCCUAACAAGAAACACAUUGUGUGCACUUUUUCUUUUUUGGCUCAAGCCACGUUCGCGCGCCGGCCCCUCCGCAGCGAGCCAAGUCCAUGACUUCAGUGAGGAGGAACCCGCCUGCCUCGCACCACGUGCGCUCCCAGCUGGGGCAGCCGCCCUGUGAGCCCUGUCCCGGUCCCUGGGACGGGCUAGGGCCUGGCCGGGACGCGCUUGUCCUGGGCACAGGACAAGGGCUUUGGGGCACAGCCCUUUCUCGGCCGGGGAGGCAGGCGAACCGAUCGCCCGGGCACUGGUGUUACCCAGGCGGCGCCAGCGCGAGUUGGCUGGUGGACAGGAUUCUGUGUGAAGAAUACAGAGACAGACGUUCCAUUUCAAAGAAAAAAGAGCAACACGAAGGCCCUCUUUAAGGAGAGAGUAAACAUUCACUUUAGGUAAAAAAUAGUCUUUUACACGCCUGUGCACGGCACACCUCUUUUGCUGUUCACCUUGAGCCCAAGAGUUUGGAAAGGCUGCCCCCAUUUCAGAGAGGAAGAAACGCAGGCACACGUGAAUGACAGACUCCUCUGUGGUGGCCUAGACUCCAGCCAACACUUCCUAGGACAGCCUGCCAUUGUGCAAAGUCACCAUGUAACAAAUGCAGACAUCUCUGAGAUCACCAUGCAGUGAGGAAGUCUAAGCUGGUGGCAUGAAGAGGCCACAUGGAAAGGGCUAAAAAAGGGGCCAGCCUCAGUCAUCCCAGCUGAGCACCUGGCUGGGAAUAAAAGAGGACUCCGUGGAUGUCCAGCCCAGUAAGAUGACCUCAGCCCCAGCCACCAACUGACCAAGCACACAAGACAUCGUGAGGCUGCCUGCUGGAGCCUGGCCAGUGGGACUGUAGAGUAACUCAUUGUCGUGCAGGAACUCCUGGGAUGGUGUUGCCCAGUGACACAAUCCCAGUGUGGCCAUUUCUGAUCCCGAGAAAGCAGUCAGGAGUGGGUGGAUGCAGUUACAGUUCAUCAAGUCCUGCUAGUUCAAGUCAUGAGUCCUGAAUUCUCCAGGAGGAGCCACUAAAGAAAUGCAGAAGCAGGCAAUCCUUGCAAUAAGGCCAGCAAACUGCCAGUGUGAAGGAUGCCCAGGUAACCUGCCCAUGCCAGAACGGCCAGGAGAUGGUGGAACCAGAAUCUAAGCCCACGCCCAUCUGACCUCAAAGUCUGUGCUCCUGAGGUUCGCACCGAGUUGCCUCCUAAGACUUGCUGAAACUGGAUCACGUCCAUUUACCCAUCUCUGAGAGAAAUGCAAGCUUUAAAAAAGGAAAUAUUUACUAUGGAUAUUUUACAAUAGUUCCAAAACAUGAAAGUUUUAAAUAAGAUAUUCUUAACCAUCCUCACCACAUCUUC